ACGCAAACUAUUAAGCUACAAGACACAAUGAUGCUUCAAAACAGGACCUGACGCUUCCAUAUGGACAGGCCCGGGCAACGUGGCGGUAGAGGUGGCACUGAGCGAAAUGCAACGCCAGCGGGGACACAGUUUAGUGGAGAAAAGGGGAACAGUCUGAGCAUGUUGGGUGCCGCGUGCAGUUCAGCUGAGUGAGGACAAGUGUGCGAGCGGGUGAAAAGUUGCGGUGGAAAAGUUAAGUUUUAGUGGAACACGCCACAUUGCUGGUGAACAUCUGCAUAAUUGCGGCACGAAAACUUAACGUGUUAUUCAUAUUCAUUAAAUCUUCGGUGUUAC